AACCAGUCAAUCACAGACAUACAGCGUAAUAAAAAAAAAACUAUUAGCAAACUUAAAAAAUGCUUGUUUUUUAUGGUUGCUAACAUCAGCACAAUUUAACCUCAUACAAUACUGCCUAAGAUUAAAUUGUAAUUAUCACUUACUAUUUUGUGUUGUUGUUUUUGGGUAACCUAUGCUUUUUUAAAACUGAAGCUGAUAUCAGCCACCGCACUCUGUAAAUUAUGUUUUAAAUUAUUAAGGUGGCGCCACAUUAGACCAGAAUAUAUUAUUUGAAUGACUAAAGCAGCAAUUAAAGGUAUCAUUUCAUAUCACCUUAUUAAUUAUUAAAAAUUUAUAUAUA